GGACGGGAACCUAAUUGACUUCUCUCCACCUUGAGACAAGAAUCUAGUUGACUUCUCUCCACUUUGAGACGGGAAUCGUCAGGACAUGGAUGAAGAUCUUCUUCGUCGCUAAGAGCAAAUCUUUCGAUUUCUCUCCCUUCUGUAUGAGAUCUUGGAUCUUCCUCGUCGCUGAGAGCAAAUCUUUCGACUUCUCUGUCUUUGGACUCUUUUUCCAGUCUUUUUAUAGCAAAGACCUGUAUGUUUUCAUCCGUUGUGUGGACACCAAAUUUCCUUCAGUUAGAGGACAUGACUAAUCGGGAAAGUGAUCUUACGUGUCGAUGUUCCGUGUCGAUCUACCUUCUUUUUCCCU
rnacentral:lncRNA from 1 species